rnacentral:rRNA from 1 species
GAUGAACGCUGGCGGCGUGCCUAAUACAUGCAAGUCGAGCGAACAGAUGAGGAGCUUGCUCCUCUGACGUUAGCGGCGGACGGGUGAGUAACACGUGGAUAACCUACCUAUAAGACUGGGAUAACUUCGGGAAACCGGAGCUAAUACCGGAUAAUAUAUUGAACCGCAUGGUUCAAUAGUGAAAGACGGUUUUGCUGUCACUUAUAGAUGGAUCCGCGCCGCAUUAGCUAGUUGGUAAGGUAACGGCUUACCAAGGCAACGAUGCGUAGCCGACCUGAGAGGGUGGUCGGCCACACUGGAACGGAGACACGGUCCAGACUCCUACGGGAGGCAGCAGUAGGGAAUCUUCCGCAAUGGGCGAAAGCCUGACGGAGCAACGCCGCGUGAGUGAUGAAGGUCUUCGGAUCGUAAAACUCUGUUAUUAGGGAAGAACAAAUGUGUAAGUAACUAUGCACGUCUUGACGGUACCUAAUCAGAAAGCCACGGCUAACUACGUG